UGCUGCCGGAGGACUAAGGAGUACACGUAUUAUCAGACACCAGGAGGAAGGUCCUGUGCAAAUGGACUGGACCUUCUGUUGGAGGGGGGAUGACCCCAAUUUUUCCUGGGAAUGACUGGAAGGACUUUGGCCUAACAAAGUUCUAUUAAACCGAUGGUGAUGUUUGGUGACCAUGAAUUGUAUCACUCUCCUGAGGCUGACACAGGAAGAUACAGACCGAAUGCUGCUUGAAUGCGACCAAAAUCCAGGACCAUUCGCUGCCAUGCUUUGUGCUGCAAUGAUUCCAGACCACUUUCUACUGGCUUGGCAUGGUAAAGUGUCCUAUUGUGGAAGACAAAAUAAGGCAGCCCU